AUAAAAUAAUACAAGAUUGAAGCUAACUUCUUUAAAAUUUUCAAUACUCCCGAAAAAAUAGCAAAUGUCUUCAAAGAAAUUUAAUAAGCCGUUUUAGUCGAUUUUUUCGCCAAUUUUCAAACCGAACUUUGGCUAAAAACAUUUAUAUCUCGCCCAAUAUGAAAUGAAAGAUCUAGCACUGUAUACCAAAAUUUAGGUUAGCAUUUUCUUAAUACUAUAAACUUAUUUUAAAGCCAUACCUGGUAUAGUUUUUACAUUAUGUUAAAUCAAACAUCGAUACUUUUUUUGAGACACACGGUAUAUCACUAUCAUUAUUGCAAUAUAUACUUGGUGACGGUGUCUUAAGGUUACAGGACACCCUUUUUGGCGUUUUGCGGAAAAUCGCUACUGCGCGCUCAAUAUAUAUUUAAUUUAUU